UAGGCAAGUCAUCCUUGGCU
rnacentral:miRNA from 1 species